UUACGAAAAUUAACGUAUUGAGAUAUACCUAAUUACUUAUCGCGUAGAGUUGAAUUCGCAAGGAGUUCGUUUGUUCUAAAUGGGACUUUGAUUUCCAAGUUUCAUUUGAAUACUAUACCUAAGAAUCGUCGAAACAAUUGUCAUUGGGAAAAUUCUUCAAAAAUCACUUAAUUGAUAUCGCAGUAAGUAAUUCGACAUGUGUGGACGGGAUACAGUAGAGCAACUGUUUGCUCCAGCCACAACUUUCAAAUUAUUAGAAACGAGCGAUUAAUAAGCAAGCAGUGAGUGGCUAUUCACAUUUCACAAUGUCUCGGUGUGCGCUAAGCUCUCACCGCGAACGUAUAUAAUAUAAAUGACGUCAGCUUCUAGAACGGUUCGGGCGUCGACUGCAGCGAAACAACAGCUAAUUCCGAAAAUAUUUAGUUCUUCAUUUUGCCACUCUCAAAGAAGUAGCGGUAGUAUCGCGUCAUUGCUGCC